GAUCAUGGCUCAGGAUGAACGCUAGCUACAGGCUUAACACAUGCAAGUCGAGGGGAAACGACAUCGAAAGCUUGCUUUUGGUGGGCGUCGACCGGCGCACGGGUGAGUAACGCGUAUCCAACCUGCCCACCACUUGGGGGAUAACCUUGCGAAAGUAAGACUAAUACCCAAUGAUAUCCCACGAAGGCAUCCGAAUGGGAUUAAAGAUUUAUCGGUGAUGGAUGGGGAUGCGUCUGAUUAGCUUGUUGGCGGGGUAACGGCCCACCAAGGCAACGAUCAGUAGGGGUUCUGAGAGGAAGGUCCCCCACAUUGGAACUGAGACACGGUCCAAACUCCUACGGGAGGCAGCAGUGAGGAAUAUUGGUCAAUGGGCGAGAGCCUGAACCAGCCAAGUAGCGUGCAGGAUGACGGCCCUAUGGGUUGUAAACUGCUUUUAUAAGGGAAUAAAGUGAGCCUCGUGAGGCUUUUUGCAUGUACCUUAUGAAUAAGGACCGGCUAAUUCCGUG
rnacentral:rRNA from 1 species